AGUGCAUCUCUAUAGCCUUAAAAUAAGUAGAAUAAUAGUGUAGCAAUCAAAAUCGAUCAUUAAGGAUCAAACUAAUCAAUAAGGGUGGAUUUAAUGGAAUGGAGAUGUGAAAACUGUUAAAAUUUUCGUUAACAUACAUUUUCUUAACAAAGGAUAUGUUCGGGUAACAUGCAAGAUUUUUGUACUUUUAUUGAUUACUUAUCCCUAUUUUGAGAAUUCAAAAGUAUUAGAGAGGAAGAAAUACAUUCAGUUUAAUAGUGAUCUGAUCUCCAGGGAUGUGAAUAUUGUCAAAAUCCUCGUUAAUAUUCACUUUUAAAAAAAGUUUAAGCUGGUAACCUACAAAAUAUGUGUGCUCUAAUGAAUUAUUUCCCCAUAUUUAGAAAAUUCAAACGUAUUAGCAAGCAAGGAACACGAUAUUUUUUUUAGUGAUCUCUGUCAGCAGAUAUGUCGUUUUUCAAAGUAACCAAUGUAUACUUUUCUUUUCGAUAUACACUCACGAGGAUUGAAACAAUUUUCACAUCCCUACUGAUCUCUAUAAGCAGAGAUGUAGUUUAUCAAA
rnacentral:lncRNA from 1 species